AAUAAAAUGUUUAUUUUUAUAGCUAUUUUUUUAAUUAUUUUUAUUUAUUAGAUAAUACUACUCAAUUAAUUGCUCACUCAAUUUUAAAGAAUUACUAUCAUACUAAUCGUACAACUCUUUAUCUAAGGACCAAAAAUCUAACCGUAUCAAAUACUUAAUGCUAUUAAUAGUAUUUUAGUUUGGUUAUACAUAUAGGCCAAUUUGUAUAAAAUUCAUUAGUUUUGUUUUUUGGAUUUUACAGAUUUAGAUUGAAUUUUUAGAAAACAGACAAAAAUACCUUUAUUUUUUUUUCUCUCUCCUCUUUUUUUUUUGCUUGCUCUUCNUAAUUCUUUAUUUUUCUUGUAGAAAAGUUAUGUUUUAUAUUUUAUUCUUUAUUUUUUAUUUUUUUAUUUUUUUAUUUUUUUCUCGGCUUCGCUUUCACCAGCACUUGCUUCGAGUCUUCCUUCUCUAGCACCGGCGUCGGUGUCUGUGCCAUCGAAUACAGAAAAAAGGAUGCGACACUAUUCUCAUUACUGUAGUAGAGGGUUACAAAGGCGAUAGAUGAGAGUUAAAGAGAAAAAAAAAAAUAAGAGAAAAAAAGAAGAAGAAGAAAACGUAACGCUGCCACUCUUUACUGUUGUAAAGAGUCGAAGAGGCGGUAGAUAAGGGUCAGAGAAGAAAAAAAAAAGAGAGUCGAGGCGCGGCCUUGGUGGGGUCAGAUGCGAGGAAGUGGAGGGAGGGUGCGCAAGCGAUGGCGAGGACGAGGGCGAGGGCGAGGGCGAG
rnacentral:lncRNA from 1 species